UACGGAGGGUGCAAACGUUGCUCGGAAUCAUUGGGCGUAAAGCGCACGUAGGCGGCCUGUUAAGUCGGGUGUGAAAGCCCUGGGCUCAACUCAGGAAGUGCACUCGAAACUGGCGGGCUUGAAUAUGGAAGAGGGUCGCGGAAUUCCCGGUGUAGAGGUGAAAUUCGUAGAUAUCGGGAGGAACACCAGUGGCGAAGGCGGCGACCUGGGCCAAUAUUGACGCUGAGGUGCGAAAGCGUGGGGAGCAAACAGG
rnacentral:rRNA from 1 species